rnacentral:lncRNA from 1 species
ACACAGCUAUUUCCAUUAGUCUCCACUAUGUGUUUAGUCCUUUCGUUAGGUAGCUUGUUGGUAUGUGCAGGGCUGGAGGACACUGGGCUCUAUUUCUUCCCCCACAGCCAAGAACCUGGAGCUUCAAGGAUGGAACUCCAGGACCCUGCUUACUGCUCAGAGGAGUGGAACUUGGACAUCCUAAAAGGCGUCCUGAACUGCUGAUGCGUUGCUGAAUCCAGGAUCUGCCUUGCUGGUCUACUGCAGAGGGCACGUGUUCUUUCUCCACAUGU